rnacentral:rRNA from 1 species
CAGCCGCCGCGGUAAUACGAAGGGGGCUAGCGUUGUUCGGAUUUACUGGGCGUAAAGGGCGCGCAGGCGGGCGAAUAAGUCAGGGGUGAAAUCCCAAGGCUCAACCUUGGAACUGCCUUUGAUACUGUUUGUCUUGAGUCCGGGAGAGGUGAGUGGAACUGCGAGUGUAGAGGUGAAAUUCGUAGAUAUUCGCAAGAACACCAGUGGCGAAGGCGGCUCACUGGCCCGGAACUGACGCUGAGGCGCGAAAGCGUGGGGAGCAAACAGGAUUAGAUACCCCGGUAGUCCCUGUCUCUUAUAC